UGAGUAACCUGCCCUUAACUCUGGGAUAAGCCUGGGAAACUGGGUCUAAUACCGGAUAUGACUCCUCAUCGCAUGGUGGGGGGUGGAAAGCUUUAUUGUGGUUUUGGAUGGACUCGCGGCCUAUCAGCUUGUUGGUGAGGUAAUGGCUUACCAAGGCGACGAUGCGUAGCCGACCUGAGAGGGUGAUCGGCCACAUUGGAACUGAGACACGGUCCAGACUCCGUACGGGAGGCAG
rnacentral:rRNA from 1 species